AGAUUGAACGCUGGCGGCAUGCUUUACACAUGCAAGUCGAACGGUAACAGGCCGCAAGGUGCUGACGAGUGGCGAACGGGUGAGUAAUGUAUCGGAACGUGCCCAGUCGUGGGGGAUAACGCAGCGAAAGCUGCGCUAAUACCGCAUACGAUCUAUGGAUGAAAGCGGGGGACCGUAAGGCCUCGCGCGAUUGGAGCGGCCGAUAUCAGAUUAGGUAGUUGGUGGGGUAAAGGCUCACCAAGCCAACGAUCUGUAGCUGGUCUGAGAGGACGACCAGCCACACUGGGACUGAGACACGGCCCAGACUCCUACGGGAGGCAGCAGUGGGGAAUUUUGGACAAUGGGCGCAAGCCUGAUCCAGCAAUGCCGCGUGCAGGAAGAAGGCCUUCGGUUGUAAACGUGUCUUUGUACGGAACGAAACGGUACCUGGUUAAUACCGUGGCGUAAUGACGGUACCGUAAGAAGUAAGACACCGGCUAACUACGUAGCCAGCACGCCGCGUAACG
rnacentral:rRNA from 1 species